ensembl:lncRNA
CCAAGUAAAAAGGUGGAAACAUUUUAAUGACUGUUGAGAUGAGCACCUCAUUACCAAAUCUACAGCCAAUUCAGUGUGGACGGCUUCUGUUUAGAAGGCAGCUUGUUGGAGCCAGGCUGUGCUCUGUGCUUUGAGAGAUCCCGCUUACAGACAGCACUCCUUCCUUUAAGUAGCACUAACUUUCUCGUCUGCCUCAAGCAAUUCUUUGGGAUGUCACACAUCAAAACACAGCUUUUCUUCAUUCAUCCUAAUAGGUAGCAAAGAGUUCAGAGUUUUUAGGUUCAGAGGCUGAUGUAGUCUUGUUUUGACCUUUCUCAACAGGCUGAAUGCCCUGCAGUGCUCUGCACUGGAGUGUGGUGAGCACAGCAGAAUCCACGUCAAUCUCAUGAGGAGAGGCAGCACAUCUGAGAUGCACCACAGCUUAACAGCACUACCCCAGUAUCUUAAAAUCUGAUGUUGCAGCCCAUUUGCUGCAAUGCACUUGACAGAGGUACAUAUCCUCACCAUCAUUUUGAAGAUGAAGGAGUUGAGACAGGAUAAGCUGUUGUCACUGGUCCACUGUCACAGCACCAGGGUUUGGAAGAGCAGAGCUUGUCUUAUACCAGUUCAAACUUCUCAAAGUCAAAAUCAAAAUAAUGACAAAACACAUUUUCUUCCAACUCAGUGGGAGCUUUUUCACUGACCUGCCACUCUGAGAUAUGACAAACCUUGAAUAAGUCAAAAGGAUAAGAAGUGAGAAAGUAGAUGAAGAGUAUAUAAGGUGAAGUAAAAUGUGAAUAAGAAACAAAAAGCAUCCGUAGAUUUACAAAUGAAGUUAAAGACCUCUAAGAAAAGUAGCCACAUCAUCCGUUUUAGAGAACUCCUGCCAUCCACAUGAGGUGUGAUGCACUGUUUCACUCCUCAGCUGCUGAUGGCCUCUUGUCCAAACAGUGGAGAGCUGCACAACUCAUCUAUCCCUCAUCUAUCAGGUCAUGAAAAAUAUUGCCCAUUAUGGCAAAGGCAUAUUUGCUUGGAUGAUAAGACUUAUACGGGUCCUAGUUACACCAUCAUCUGCAUCAACACACAGCAUUUUUGCCAGGAGCAAAGAGGGCAGCAGCUUACAAGCAAAAAUCAGUUGUUCUGGAAGACCUGCCUUUCAAAAGUUAGGAGCAUGAGUUCCCUGUACUAUCAGUAGAAGUUUUAAAAAAGGUGGGGGUAAGGAAGAACCAUAGUCUAAGUUAUACAUCUUAUGUUAGAUGAUUUUGUAUUAACUAUAGAGUGCAAAAACACAACUGAAAAACUCUGCGUUUGCUGCUUGUUCUGCAAUCUCAUUAAUCACUUUUAUUUAAACAUGAGCAGCUUAAGGUUAGCUAUGCUUCGUCUGCUGUGCACUGGCCAUUGAGACAGUAAAUGUUUGGGGAUCUCUGCACAUUUUCUUACUUUUAAGGAAACCCAGAUGUAAGCAAAGGGGAGAGAAUGUAAACCCCAGAGAGCCAGACAGUCUCUGUCAAGUGCCAGCUAAGCAGCCUGUGGUGCUUCUGGGCUGCUCUGCUUUAUGCCACCCAGCACGGAGCGCACAACCUGACAAUGCAGCCCACCCCCAGGUUGACCAACCAGCUGAAUUGCUCUCCCUGUGGGGCUCAGAUAUCAUAACCACAGACAUUAUUGCUAAAUAGUCAGCAAAAUUCCAUUUGCAGUGUAAAGUAUCUGACAGUUAGUAUUUCGGAGCUGUAUAUUGCUUGAAUAGAAACCAAAAUUACUCUAUAUGAUAAAGUUAAUGGUGUACAGUUUGUAAGUUAGUUAUAACAACACCUCAAGCAUUUCUACAAAACUUAAUUUAAUAUUCCAACUCAUUAAAAAUCUUAUUACAGAAACCACUUACAGGCUUUAUAAACACAUUUUUAUAUUAUUAGGGAAGGAUCUUAAUAAAGAACAAUUUGAAUGCAGAAAUGCACAUGUAGAGUAAAUUGCUUAUAGUAAAACUAGCUAAACAAAAUUUGCUGUCAGCAAACCUCCUGACUAGUUUCUUCAUCUGCUUUACAAAUGUGCUAUGUUUCAGUGUAUCUAGACCUUUCCUAAUAGAAAGUGCGUACCAGAGAAUUCCAGCAACUGAGAUAAAGGUGCAAACAUUGGCCUUAAUGCUGCCCUGUGAGCCAAAAUAUCCCAGAGCAGUCAAUGACGAGUACUUGGAGUUGAUUAUGACAAUGAAUGUAACUCCCAUCUCUAGAAAUUUCUCUCUUUCAAGCUGCACCAAUUAUUUAAUAGUAAAAAUUAAAACUGAUAUUGAAUCUUUGGACAAACCUCAACAGCGUCUCUCAUAGAAAACCAGUGUUGAUCUACUUAUAAUAUCAUUUGUUACAUUUAGCUACUGUUUUAUUAUAUUUACUAAUUAUCAUCAUACUGUGACAUCUCAUGGUGAUAUACCAGCAAAAUUAAUCAUUAAAAGAAUUACCUGAAAGCAAGUAUAUUUCAUCUACAUAAUGGUUUUUUAAACGAAAGCAAUAGACUGGUAGUGACUUAAUGGUUGGUUUGCAAUCAGAGUAAGAACCAACUCUGUUAUACAUCAUCUGCAUUCUUCAUGAGCAUUGCUGUUGUUGCUUUUCACAUUAUGUAAAUUGUAGAAACCUGUAAGAUUUGAAUCUUCUGUGGCAGAUAUUUUUAUUCUUAUGUUUUAAAUUUUGUGCACUCGCAGCCUCAAAUAGGUAUAAUUUCAAAUCUCUAUAAAUAACAUAAUUUGUUGUUUUCAGUAACACUUAAAAUGUUAAUCUGCAGAUCCCUAUCUUAAUGAAUUAGUAGUGUUUUCUAUGUACAAAAUAAAUACAAAAGGUCAGCUUAUUAUCCAAAAAACUACUGUGAAGUGAGAGAAUUAAUUUUGUUUUUCUGCUGAAACUGCAUGCAAUCACAGAGGUUCAUAUGGGUGAAGUAUUAUUAAGUUCUGUUCACUGACACAUACCACAAAAUACAAAAAAAGAGCUAAGAAGUACAGGCCACUGAAAUUACUCCUACAUGCAAUCAGGUUGUUUAAAAAAUAGGCUUUCUAGACAUUUUGACGGCAGACACAUAGCUGCGGUUAAUCCUCCAUUUAUCCCUGCUCCUCUCUACAGGGGUGUACUUGUGAGCCUGCUGGAGCCAAGUCUCGCUCCCCUAGAGCAGCAGAGCACAAGGGGCACAAGCCCCCUCCAUGAGGCAGGUUCAAAGUGGCAGCUGUGGAAAGGUCACCUGAGCCAGAGAUACAGAAGGAGAGCCUGCUUCUGUUCAUCUCUCAUGGUGGCAGGGAGGGGCAUGAAGGGAUGGGAAGGAGUGGGGCUUCUGGGAACUGAGUCAAGGAUAGAGAAGACAGUGGGUUACGUAGUUAUUAAUAUGCCAUUAUUACGAAAACACUGAACCAGGAAGCAAGAUUCACUAGAGAGAAUACAGGGAGGAACCAGGAACACAUGGCCACACGUACAACAGCCACAGCCUACCUGCAUUAGUUCUCUCUUUACCUUCCUCCAUUUUCAAAACCCAGUGCUCACCAGCAAGCUGUGGGUGUACAGAGCUUCGACCGCUUUGACUGCCUGGUGUACAUCUGGUCCCAUUCUUCCCUUCCAGCCUAGAAGCACCUGAGGUCCUCACUCAUGACCACCAGUGAGUCCACACCCAGAGCAAAAUUCAAAAUUUGUAAUUCAUAGCUUUCUUCCUUACUACCAUGCAUGAGGAUGAGGGAUCAACAGAGGUGGCUGCCUUGUCUCAUAUGUGCCUGCCUCAUCUCAAAGCUGCAAGCCCUUCAGCCAGGAUCCCUCUCACAUCUCAGGAGAUCAAAAAGCUGCAGAAGAUGUCACAGAUGACUUCUGGAGGUUUUCUGCAGGGAGAACAGGUAGCUGAUGCAAUGAAGAGUGAUGUGAAAACAUGGCCAAGCUCUCUGAGGGCUUCUGUUGUCCCUAAGCUGUCAUUGCUUUGCAGUUUAACUCCUCAGAUGGCUCAG